GGUUUUUUCUUGAAUCUACUGACUCAUUACACAUUUGGGUCUAUUUCGGUUUUUGGUUCAAAAACUGGCAAGGAUGAGAGGUGGGGUGUCUCAAAGUUUCAAGCUUUACCUUCUCCAUGUGUUCCUACUGCUGCUUUACCUCCAGGACUCCAGUUGCGGUUCAGUGAAUUCUCUCAAGGGUUCUUUAAACAUGGACAGAAAGGAGGACACUUUGUUGCCUGAGAUCUCCCCAACUGCUUCUCCUCAGCCCUUUCUCCCUCUUUUGGCACCUUCUCCGUGGGCACCUUUUACAAACAGCACUUUACCAAAAUUAUCGGGACUCUGUACGCUGAAAUUUGAUGCUGUGGAAAGAAUGAUGGGUGUGACAUCAAUUGAUUGUGUUGCUCCAUUUGCGGAGUAUCUAGCUAAUGUCAUGUGUUGCCCACAACUUGAAGCAACUCUGGUUAUUCUUAUUGGGCAGUCUAGUAAAUUCACAAAUAUGCUUGCUUUAAAUGGCACAGUUGCAAAGCAUUGCCUUUCAGAUUUUCAGCAAAUUCUGGUGAGCCAGGGUGCCAAUGAUACUUUACAGCACAUAUGCUCUCUCCAUCCAUCAAAUCUGACAGAAGGUUCUUGCCCAGUCAAAGGUGUUCAUGAGUUUGAAACCACAGUGGACUCAUCUAGCCUACUUGCUGCCUGUGGGAAGAUU
rnacentral:misc_RNA from 1 species